GGUGGAGUAAGGAGGAUUUCCACAAAGAAUACAGAACUGUUUCUGAUAUUACACAUCUGUGGAAAAGAACACUAUACAUCGGGCGAAGACAACUGGAUGAACUUCCUGAAACCCUCAUAGGACAAAAUGUUGCAGAACAGUGUAUCUUCCACGUGUUCCAUAUGUGGAAGAGGCUUUAAUUACAUACAGCGAGGACAAUCUACUGGGAGAAGGGACAUUUGGCAAGGUAUAUAGAGGUUCUUUUCAUGGUACUCCAGCAGCUGUUAAAAGGAUCGUGUGUGGCCAACAAGGGAUGGAGGACAGCGACAUUCAUCAUGAGAUAAAUGUUUCACUGAGACUGUCUCACCC